AGGUGCUGCAUGGUUGUCGUCAGCUCGUGCCGUGAGGUGUCGGCUUAAGUGCCAUAACGAGCGCAACCCUUGUUGUCAGUUACUAACAGGUUCUGCUGAGGACUCUGACAAGACUGCCAUCGUAAGAUGUGAGGAAGGUGGGGAUGACGUCAAAUCAGCACGGCCCUUACGUCCGGGGCUACACACGUGUUACAAUGGGGGGUACAGAGGGCCGCUACCACGCGAGUGGAUGCCAAUCCCAAAAACCUCUCUCAGUUCGGACUGGAGUCUGCAACCCGACUCCACGAAGCUGGAUUCGCUAGUAAUCGCGCAUCAGCCACGGCGCGGUGAAUACGUUCCCGGGCCUUGUACACACCGCCCGUCAAGCCAUGGGAGCCGGGGGUACCUGAAGUGCGUAACCGCGAGGAGCGCCCUAGGGUAAAACUGGUGACUGGGGCUAAGUCGUAACAAGGUAGCCGUACCGGAAGGUGCGGCUGGAACACCUCCUUUCUGGAG
rnacentral:rRNA from 1 species